GUGCGCAUACAAUUUCCACGUGGCCUUGUGGUGACCACGUGCUAUGAGCUCCCACAAUGUCUCGUUUGGGGUUGUGUCUUCUCGAAACGUUGCGAAUCCCACCAUCGUAUCCAGAUCCCGGGUUGUUGCGGCCUUGGCCGUGAAUCUUCCGCGGCUCUCUUCCUCUUCCUGAGGCCUCCGGGUGCACGCGCCUGACCUGCAGGUACCUGGCGCGUGGCAGAUGAGUCCUUUAGUAAUUUUGCUGCUCGUCAUUUUUCUUUGCAUGCAGAUUGUUUGUCAUUUACGUUCAUGUUUUGUUGAUUUGAUUAUUUUUACAUGUUUGUCUUUUUUGUUAUUUCUCUUUCAGUGCUUUAUUCCUGUAAUUGCAUUAAUAUUUUUUGUUUAGUUAUUGAGUUUGAAGAUACCAUUUACUGUUGAAGGGGUAAUGUGCAAUAUAUGCUUUGUAUCUGGUGUAGUCUGUAAUUUUGUCUAUGUACAGGCUCUAUUUUGUUAUAGGCCUAUUUUUAGCUUUUGAGGAAAUGCAUUACUAUUUUGAAAAUUAAUGUUUCUCCUUUCUUUAUUGUCCUGAUCUGGUACAGCCUUUUUUCAAAGUUUGGGAAGCUGAAUAGACCUGUUGGUCAUGGUUUUUCACAAUUUAAGUGUCUGACACAGCUCAUGUCACAAAUGACAAGACUUGAUAAGCAUCAUGACAUAAUAAUGUCGAUGCUUUUGCAUAUCCAAAGUUGGUCUCAAAAUCUAAGAGUUUACUACAUUCUAGGUGGCAGUAGAGAGACUGUAGUGACACAGUUGGUAUAGCGGACUGAUAACGAUCAUUUUAGCUUCACUUUAGAACAUGAAUGUUCUUUGAUUGGACAAAAGAAAUUGUCUUUUCUAAAAGUCUGUUAACCCUUAAGGCACAUCAUUAAAAAAAUCAUUUUGAUUCUUCUUGCAUUUUAAAAUGUAAGAGGUCAUUUGUGAAUGCAUCUGUUUAAUUAGGCCUGAUGAAAAAAAAUAUGAAAAAUUUGAUUUUAUGUACUUUUUUGUCCUCGGAGACAAUUCAAUUCACAUGGUUUAAAUUUAUAACCUACAGCAAUGCAGUGUUAAUUUUACUAAUGAGACUUGACUCGAGCUUGUUAGCCAUGCACAGAAAAACAUUCUUCAAAGAUGGGGAGGAUGAUGCUGUGAUGGAGGAAGUUCAGCAUGCACAUGACUGCCACAGAGAACAGCAGAGAACACAGCAGUUCUUAGAAACGGCUUCCAAAACAGUUUGUCAAACUGUGAAAAUACUAAAUAAGAAUAAGGUGUAAUUAUGUCAACAUGUUAGAAGAAACUGAAGAUGGCAGAUGCUGUCUUAACACUUGAAUGUUUAUUUGCAAAAGUGGUAAACUGUCAAAGAAAGCUGGCCCUCAGCAGGGUAGGGGAUUUGCGGAUAAGUGUGGAAAAUAAUGUUACGAUUUUUUUUUUUAUCAAAAAAAGCAAAAAUCAAAUAAAGGUAUGAUUUU